CAAAGCGUGGCUGGAGGAACAAUUGAAAAAUGGAUAAGAUAAUACAACAAAAGGAUGAUCAAAUUAUGAAGCUGCAGGCCCAAUUAUUGGAACAACACAAAAUAUUAGAUAACAGCAAAGCUAAGGAUGCUCAAAUUUUGAGUCUACAAGCUCAGCUAGGGGAGAAGAACAAAUUGGAACGGAACAGUUUCCAAACAGUGAAGGAGGUUUUUCCAAACUCAUCCCUAACUGAACGUGAGGAUGAAUUGGCAUUAGGCGAACACAGUCAGUUAUUCAGUCCACCAUCAGACAGUGCGUUAAAUUUAAAUUCUGUUAGUGCUGCACUAAAAGAAUUGUUCGUAAUCAGUCCAUGCAGCGAUGGAACUGAACAAUUGUGGGACCGUAUUUGGGCUGAAAAUGGGUGUGGUACGGAAACCCAGAAAUGGCACGAGUUCAACCUAAAACAUGGAUUAGAAUUUUAGCGGGGGAUCAAGUCAAAUAUGGAAGUGUUACAGGAUGGAAGAGUCAGCCUGUAGUUGAAAAAACACAGAGUGCAUUACCGUUAAGGUGUGAGCAAUCCUUUAUAGUUCUGUCACAGCUAGAAGCCUCAAAUAAUUCUGCUUCUCUUGCUAAAGAACAACUUGUCCUUUACGUUCACAGUGUUGGUGAAACUGGGUACUUAAAUGGCCCUAAGAUUUUGCUGCCGUUGCAGAGAUGAACAUCAUACAUGGACUCUUUAGGAAAGGAUUUUCAGCAUACUGGGAACACAACUAUCAACAAUGCAACAUUCUACGCGUGCUAUUUUAUCAUUCAAGAGCCUUAUACAAUGAUUUUCAUCUGCAAUUUGUAUGGCCUUUCCCAAGCUUCUGCCAGAAGUUGAAUCUAUAAGUCAUGUAAGUCACAUGAGCAACAAUUGAGAUGCUUAAUGGUGUUGUUUUUCUUUUCUCAGCAUAGGUUAAUAGUAACGUGGAUGGAGAGAAUAACGCGUGGCUGGAGGAACAAUUGAAAAAUGGAUAAGAUAAUACAACAAAAGGAUGAUCAAAUUAUGAAGCUGCAGGCCCAAUUAUUGGAACAACACAAAAUAUUAGAUAACAGCAAAGCUAAGGAUGCUCAAAUUUUGAGUCUACAAGCUCAGCUAGGGGAAAAGAACAAAUUGGAAUGGAACAGUUUCCAAACAGUGAAGGAGGUUUUUCCAAACUCAUCCCUAACUGAACAUGAGGAUGAAUUGGCAUUAGGCGAACACAGUCAGUUAUUCAGUCUACCACCUGACAGUGUGUUAAAGUUAAAUUCUGUUAGUGCUGCACUAAAAGAAUUGUUAGUAAUAAGUCAAUGCAGCGAAGGAAUUGAACAAUUGUGGGAUCGUAUUUGGGCUGAAAAUAGGUGUGGUACGGAAACCCAGAAAUAGCAUGAGUUCAACAUAAAACAUGAAUUAGAAUUCUAGUGGGGAAUCAAGUCAAGUCUAGAAGUGUUACAGGAUGGAAGAGUGAGCCUACAGUUGAAAAACACUGAAAGUGCAUUACCAUUAAGGUAUGAGGUAAAGUAAUAGAGUAUGCAAAUUGUCUAAUGAGAAGUACCAUCUUGUGUGAAUGAAUCCUGUGUAACAGCAAUCCUUUAUAGUUCUGUUAUAGCUAGAAGCCUCAAAUAAUUCUGCUUCUCUUGCUAAAGAACAACUUGUCCUUUACACUCAGAGUGUUGGUGAAGCUGGGUACUUAAAUGGCCCUAAAGAUGUUUCACUUCACUGGCAUUGCAGCGAUGAACAUCAUACAUGGACUCUUUAGGUCUUAUCUACAAAAAAAAAUUUAUCCAAUAGGAAAGGAUUUUCAGCAUACUGGGAACACAACUAUCAACAAUGCAACAUUCUAGGGGUGUUAUUUUAUCCUUCAAGAGCCUUAUACAAUGAUUUUUAUCUACAAUUUGUAUGGCCUUUCCCGAGCUUCUGCCAGAAGUUGAAUCUAUGAGUCAUGUAAGUCACAUGAGCAACAAUUGAGAUGCUUAAUGGUGUUGUUUUUCUUUUCUCAGUGUAGGUUAAUAGUAACAUUGGAUCUGAAAAAAUUCUUGGUUGGGGCAUGACACUGAAUAAAUUGUAAUGAUUGGA